rnacentral:rRNA from 1 species
GAUCAUGGCUCAGAACGAACGCUGGUAGCGUGGAUUAGGCAUGCAAGUCGAACGGGAUCCGGGAGGUAGCAAUACUUCCUGGUGAGAGUGGCGGAUUGGGGAGGAACACGUGAGCAACCUGCCUUGGGAGUCGGGGAAAACCGUUGGAAACGACGGCUAAUACCGGAUGUGGCGCCCGGUGACAUCACCGGAGCGCUAAAGGGGGCCGCAAGGCUCUCGCUCGUAGAGGGGCUCGCGCACCAUCAGCUUGUUGGCGGGGUAACGGCCCACCAAGGCCUACGGUUAGCUGGUCUGAGAGGAUGACCAGCCCCACUGGGACUGAGAUACUGCCCAGACUCCUACGGGAGGCUGCAGUCGAGGAUCAUUUGCAAUGGGCGAAAGCCUGACAAUGCGACGCUGCGUGGAGGAUGAAGGCCUUCGGGUUGUAAACUCCUGUCAUGGGGGAACAGGCGAGGGGACCCAAUACGUCCCUUAGUUGAGUGUACCCCAAGAGGAAUUGGCGGCUAACUCUGUGCCAGCCGCGGC